AUUGAACGCUGGCGGCAGGCUUAACACAUGCAAGUCGAACGAGUGGCGGACGGGUGAGUAAUGCCUGGGAAACUGCCCGAUGGAGGGGGAUAACUACUGGAAACGGUAGCUAAUACCGCAUACCAUCGGAUGUGCCCAGAUGGGAUUAGCUAGUAGGUGGGGUAACGGCUCACCUAGCCGACGAUCCCUAGCUGGUCUGAGAGGAUGACCAGCCACGCUGGAACGGAGACACGGCCCAGACUCCUACGGUAGGCAGCAGUGGGGAAUAUUGCACAAUUGGCGCAAACCUGAUGCAGACAUGCCGCGUGGGUGAAGAAGGCCUUCGGGUUGUAAAGUGCUUUCAGUGGGGAGGCGUUACCCGAAGAAGAAGCACCGGCUAACUCCGUGCCAGCAGCCGCGGUAAUAC
rnacentral:rRNA from 1 species